UGUGUAACACCUCAUGUACUGUUGCAUCAUACCCCACGUUAAGGUGAACCAAAGAGGGGCCACUGCUCCCCCCCACCCCACAAGGAGUGCAUAUAUAAGGCUACCUGUGUGGCGUCCGUCUCCAUCUCUACCUGUCGAAAGGUUCCAGUUUACAGCUUCAAAUCAGAGCUCAAAUCGGUAUCUGAAAGGAUGAGGUAUAUUGUUCUACUUGUUGUCGUGCUGCUUCUUGCCAUGAUGGUUCAGCCAGCAGACUGCUUUAUCCAUCACAUCAUCGGGUGGAUCAGCCAUGGUGUGAGGGCCAUCCAUCGUGCCAUCCAUGGAGAAAAAGCUGAGGAAUAUAUUAUGGUGGACUAGUCCUCCACCAACAGCAUCGGCAAACACUCGAACAGAGCCGUUGUUGCACAUGCCGAACAAGAAGAACAAGCAUGCUAACCUUGCAGUUCGCAUGUUUCAAGUUUUAAUGUAAAUGGCAUGUUGGUGAUAAAUAAAUAGGCAUUAUAAACAUA